UGUCACAUGAGAACUCAUGGUUGGGAUAAUGCAAAGUAGUCAUUUGACCUGAGGCAUCGUCGUUGUCUUGUGGUUAAGUCCUUGAUCUUUGAUUAUGUCAAACGUCAUUCCAUUGGAGUGUCCACGACAUCGUUGGGGUUAAGCCACUUAGCCAUGAAGGUAAGUGAAUGCGCAACAAGGGAUCUCUAACCUUCAAACUGUUUGAGGGAGAAUACUCUAUGAUAUGAUUAGAAUCUCUGGCCAGAGUAUGAAUGAGAUUUAGGAAUGCGUUCCAAAUCACAUUCAAGGUAAUCAUAUAAGCA
rnacentral:lncRNA from 1 species